UACGUAGGUGACGAGCGUUAUCCGGAAUUACUGGGCGUAAAGCGCACGCAAGCGGUUGGACAAGUCUGGCGUGAAAUCUCCUGGCUUAACUAGGAGCGGUCGCUGGAAACUGUCGAGCUUGAGGCGAUGAGAGGGGUGCAGAAUUCCCGGUGUAGUGGUGGAAUGCGUAGAGAUCGGGAGGAAUACCAGUGGCGAAAGCGGCACCCUGGCGUCGUACUGACGCACAUGUGCGAAAGCGUGGGGAGCGAACAGG
rnacentral:rRNA from 1 species